rnacentral:rRNA from 1 species
AUUGAACGCUGGCGGCAGGCCUAACACAUGCAAGUCGAGCGCGAGGCGGAAGGGUGAGAAAUGUAUGGGGAUCUCCCCGCUAGAGGGGGGUACCUACACGAAAAGGUAGCUAAUAUCGCAUACUAUCGGCUGAACCCCUAUGGGAUUAGCUAGUGGGUGAGGGAAUGGCGCCCCGAGGCGACGAGCCCUCGCUGGUCUGAGAGGAUGAGCAGCCACACUGUGACUGAGACACGGCCCAGACUCCUACGGGAGGCAGCAGUGGGGAAUAUUGCACAAUGGGCGAAAGCCUGAUGCAGCCAUGCCGCGUGGAUGAAGAAGGCCUUCGGGUUGUAAAGUACUUUGGGCAGGGAGGCGGUAUCUGCAGAAGAAGCACCGGCUAACUACGUGCCAGCCGCCGCGGUAAUUC